rnacentral:rRNA from 1 species
UACGUAGGCAGCGAGCGUUGUUCGGAGUUACUGGGCGUAAAGGGUGCGUAGGCGGUUGUUUAAGUUUGGUGUGAAAUCUCCCGGCUCAACUGGGAGGGUGCGCCGAGUACUGAAUGACUAGAGUGCGGGAGAGGAGAGUGGAAUUCCUGGUGUAGCGGUGAAAUGCGUAGAUAUCAGGAGGAACACCGGUGGUGUAGACGGCUCUCUGGACCGUAACUGACGCUGAGGCACGAAAGCGUGGGUAGCAAACAGG